CCCCGAUCCACACAUUUCACGUUCAUUCACUCUCCACACUUUUAAACUAUAGUCUCAUUGGCAACAUUCAUUCGGCAAGACAUUUACUUGGAAAACUUCUCACACAUUUACUCCAAAAGGUGCCCAUUGGAUCAAAAAAGGUAAGCAAAUCAAAAUUUGUAUUCAAGAUUUUCGCUAAUUAAUAGUAAGUUGUUGAAGAAAAAAAUGUGUUCGCAACAAGAUAAUAUAAUUUUGUCGGAAGAAAUCGCUUCAGAAGUGUCAAUGCGUCUCCGUGACAUGGAGACACUGUCUCCAGGACACACACGGAGAAUGUCUCCAUGAGAAAUGUUUGUUCCUUUUUUUUUUUCUGUUUUAUUGUUCUCAGACUUUAGGAUGUGGUUUUUUAAACAAAAAUAGAUUUGUUUAACAACAUUAUUUACGAUCAAUUGUACACUUUUUUACGUUCAUUUUGUAUAUUAAGUUUUUGUAAACAAAAUAAUAUAUUUGUUUGAAAAUAUUCAUUGUCGUGUAAUUUACACAGAUGUCUUUCGAAUACGUUCUCUCUCCAAAUCAGUGAUUUUCUGCUACCAUCGUCCAGUAUCCAAAUCACAAAUACAUUAAAGAUUUUGUAGAAUUCAUAGAUGCCAAUCAACAAUAUUCUUUACUGUGUAAUAAUUUUUGUGGAUUUGUCACUGUCAACUGACAAUGAACAUAGUAUAUUAGAUGACAUUGUCAAUGGAAAAUUAGAGAAUAUAGCACAAACUAUUACCGAAUCACAGCCGUACAUAGCAAACGACAAGUCGUUGUACAUCGAGAACUUCAAUUAGAA
rnacentral:lncRNA from 1 species